rnacentral:rRNA from 1 species
UACGUAGGGGGCAAGCGUUGUCCGGAAUCAUUGGGCGUAAAGAGCGUGUAGGCGGUUCGAUAAGUCUGCUGUGAAAGUCCAGGGCUCAACCCUGGAAAGCCGGUGGAUACUGUCGGACUAGAGUGCGGAAGAGGCGAGUGGAAUUCCCGGUGUAGCGGUGAAAUGCGCAGAUAUCGGGAGGAACACCUAUUGCGAAGGCAGCUCGCUGGGACGUUACUGACGCUGAGACGCGAAAGCGUGGGGAGCGAACAGG